GAUGAACGCUGGCGGCGUGCCUAAUACAUGCAAGUCGAGCGAACGGACGAGAAGCUUGCUUUUCUGAUGUUAGCGGCGGACGGGUGAGUAACACGUGGAUAACCUACCUAUAAGACUGGGAUAACUUCGUGAAACCGGAGCUAAUACAGGAUAAUAUUUUGAACCGCAUGGUUCAACAGUGAAAGACGGUCUUGCUGUCACUUAUAGAUGGAUCCGAGCUGCAUUAGCUAGUUGGUAAGGUAACGGCUUACCAAGGCAACGAUGCAUAGCCGACCUGAGAGGGUGUCUGCCCACAUAGGAACUAGGGAACAAUCCAGACUGCUACGGCAGGAGGCAGUAGGGAAUCUUCCGCAAUGAGCGGAAGCCUGACGGAGAAACGCCGCGUGAGAUAUGAAGAACUUCGGAUCGUAAAACUCUGUUAUUAGGGAAGAACAUAUGUGUAAGUAACUGUGCACAUCUUGACGGUACCUAAACAGAAAGCCACGGCUAACUACGUG
rnacentral:rRNA from 1 species